rnacentral:rRNA from 1 species
AGAACGAACGCUGGCGGCAUGCCUAAUACAUGCAAGUCGAACGAAGGCUUCGGCCUUAGUGGCGCACGGGUGCGUAACGCGUGGGAAUCUGCCCCUUGGUUCGGAAUAACAGUUGGAAACGACUGCUAAUACCGGAUGAUGACGAAAGUCCAAAGAUUUAUCGCCAAGGGAUGAGCCCGCGUAGGAUUAGCUAGUUGGUGAGGUAAAGGCUCACCAAGGCGACGAUCCUUAGCUGGUCUGAGAGGAUGAUCAGCCACACUGGGACUGAGACACGGCCCAGACUCCUACGGGAGCAGCAGUAGGGAAUAUGGACAAUGGGCGAAAGCCUGAUCCAGCAAUGCCGCGUGAGUGAUGAAGGCCUUAGGUGUAAAGCUCUUUACCGAGAUGAUAAUGACAGUAUCGGAGAAUAAGCCCCGGAUAACUCCGUGCCAGCAGCCGAC